rnacentral:rRNA from 1 species
ACGGAAGGCAGCAGUGGGGGAUAUUGCACAAUGGAGGAAACUCUGAUGCAGCAACGCCGUGUGAGGGAAGAAGGUCUUCGGAUUGUAAACCUUUGUCUUUGGUGACGAUAAUGACGGUAGCCAAGGAGGAAGCUCCGGCUAACUACGUGCCAGCAGCCGCGGUAAUACGUAGGGAGCGAGCGUUGUCCGGAUUUACUGGGUGUAAAGGGUGCGUAGGCGGGGAAGCAAGUCAGGCGUGAAAACUAUCGGCUCAACUGAUAGCCUGCGCUUGAAACUGUUUUUCUUGAGUGAAGUAGAGGUAGGCGGAAUUCCCGGUGUAGCGGUGAAAUGCGUAGAGAUCGGGAGGAACACCAGUGGCGAAGGCGGCCUACUGGGCUUUAACUGACGCUGAGGCACGAAAGUAUGGGUAGCAAACAGGAUUAGAUACCCUGGUA